rnacentral:tRNA from 1 species
GGAAAUGUGGCUCAGUGAUAGAGUAUUUGCCUUGCAUGCAUGAGGCCCUAGGUUUGAUUCCUCAGCACCA